rnacentral:lncRNA from 1 species
UCAAUUUUAAAUUUUCUAUCAUUUUCUAUUAAAAACUCAGAAACAACACAAAGAAAAACUUCAAGUUUUCUAUUCUUUUCUUUUCUGUUCUAAUUUUAAGUUUUCUAUCCUUUUCUUUUCUUUUCUUUUCUUUUCUGUUCAAAACUCAGAAGUGUUAGAUCCCAAUCGAGCUACAUCGAUGCUAUUGAUGAAAUUAGGGCUUUAAUAAGUUGUUCCAGAUGCGGGAAGGAGAAUAGAUGGAAAAGACAAACAUACCCCUAUCAAAUCCACACGUGUGCGAGUCCCGGUCACUUUUCACCAAUUAAGUUCAAAAAGUGUGGGUUUUGUUUAGAUGAAAUGAAGUUCGUGCUGUACUUAGGAACCUUUUCGUGUAUUAACAAUGUUGUAAAGUUUGAG